rnacentral:rRNA from 1 species
UUAGAGUUUGAUCCUGGCUCAGAUUGAACGCUGGCGGCAGGCCUAACACAUGCAAGUCGAGCGGUAACAUUUCUAGCUUGCUAGAAGAUGACGAGCGGCGGACGGGUGAGUAAUGCUUGGGAACAUGCCUUGAGGUGGGGGACAACAGUUGGAAACGACUGCUAAUACCGCAUAAUGUCUACGGACCAAAGGGGGCUUCGGCUCUCGCCUUUAGAUUGGCCCAAGUGGGAUUAGCUAGUUGGUGAGGUAAUGGCUCACCAAGGCGACGAUCCCUAGCUGGUUUGAGAGGAUGAUCAGCCACACUGGGACUGAGACACGGCCCAGACUCCUACGGGAGGCAGCAGUGGGGAAUAUUGCACAAUGGGCGCAAGCCUGAUGCAGCCAUGCCGCGUGUGUGAAGAAGGCCUUCGGGUUGUAAAGCACUUUCAGUCAGGAGGAAAGGUUAGUAGUUAAUACCUGCUAGCUCUGACGUUACUGACAGAAGAAGCACCGGCUAACUCCGUGCCAGCAGCCGCGGUAAUCUCCAGGCACACGCCGAGGCCCUUUUCCC